rnacentral:ncRNA from 1 species
AAGUCAGAAUCCCGCCUGGAAAGCGACGAUGCAUUCGUGCCUCGGCCUCGAGAGGCGUAGCUAGACGGCCGCGUGGCCGGGAAAGAGCCCGAUUCCGACCCGAGAGGCCGCGGCAAGAGGCGGCCUCGAAGUCGGUGGAUCCUCCUGCUCGAAAGGCGGGGUGCUAAACCAUUCGCAGACGACCUAGUUGAAGAUCGGGGUGUCGUGAUCACUAGAGCAGUACAUCUCACUGCGAUUUGUUGAGAGUAAGCCUCAAGAUCUGUCGGUUUGU